UACCCCCAGGGGAAGUCGAAUCCCCGCUGCCUCCUU
rnacentral:tRNA from 1 species